GUUUGAAAAUGACUCUGCCUUGGUAGUGGCAAUUGAGAACUGGAAAAAUUAUGAUACACAUAUGGGAAGAAAAUACAAACAAAAGAGCAGUGCAAGAAUCAGGAUCUAUAUCAGUAUUUUACAUCCUCUUCAAAUUGCACAUUGGAGAGCGUUCCCACCAACUAGGGAACGCUAAAUUGAUUUACAUCUAAUGAUCUAAUUUUUAUAUCAAUGUAUGAGAUGAAACAUAAUAAUAAAACGUGAAAACCAAUUUAAAGUGUCAAAGUGUUAACAAAAAACUAUAAUAUUGAUAUCAAUGUAUGAGAUGAAACAUAAUAGUAAAUCGAAAACCAAUAAAAACUGCCAAGUGUUGAAGUAAGUAAAUGAGGAGCAAAAUGGAUUUUCCCAUGGAGAAUUGUGCACAGCAUAUGGACUCGAGGUGUGGAUUUUAUUGUUUUUCAUUUGCCUCUACGCUAGUUUCCUUCAACUACAAGACACCCAUUUAAAUACUUGCCUAAGAACAAGGCCUUAGGUUAGUUUAUAAGGUUGAAAAACAAAAACAACAGAAAUCUAGGGCUCAAGUUUUGUUCUUUUUCUUGAUCUUAAUCUCAAAUGCUAUAUAAAUAGGGCUAUAGUGAAUUAAAGCUUCUAAUUACAUGCUACUUGUUAAAGAAAUUUCUAUCAUGUAACUUGGAGUAAGAAAUGGAAACUGAACUGGCUCAGCCACUUUUCCUAGGUAUCUAGUUCUUCAGCCAUUUACUGAAAUAUGUACUGCAUGGUACAGAAUCUCUUGUUAUGGUUUAAAUUGGAAAGGCAAAAAACUCGUUUUCGGUCAUUUUAAACCUUCAUCCUCUUUCCGUGUUCUUUUUUGGGUUUAAGCUUGGGAGGUGGUGAUUGCAACACCCUCAUCUUGCCAGCAAAGAGAAGGAACAAAAGGAGGGGCACCAAUCAGGAUUGUGAAAAACUCAAUAAAAGAAAAGCAACAAUGAUUAGCAAAUCCCAGCAAAGGAAGCUGAAGAAGUUGGAGGAGGAGAAGGAAAAA